rnacentral:rRNA from 1 species
UACGUAGGGUGCGAGCGUUAAUCGGAAUUACUGGGCGUAAAGCGUGCGCAGGCGGUUUGUUAAGUCUGCUGUGAAAUCCCCGAGCUCAACUUGGGAAUUGCAGUGGAUACUGGCAAGCUGGAGUACGGUAGAGGAAGGUGGAAUUCCCGGUGUAGCAGUGAAAUGCGCAGAUAUCAGGAGGAACACCAAUGGCGAAGGCAGCUCGCUGGGACGGUACUGACACUGAGACGCGAAAGCGUGGGGAGCAAACAGG